rnacentral:rRNA from 1 species
CGCCUACGGGAGGCAGCAGUGGGGAAUAUUGGGCAAUGGGCGCAAGCCUGACCCAGCAAUGCCGCGUGAAGGAAGAAGGCCCUCGGGUUGUAAACUUCUUUUAUCAGGGACGAAGGAUGUGACGGUACCUGAUGAAUAAGCUCCGGCUAACUACGUGCCAGCAGCCGCGGUAAUACGUAGGGAGCAAGCGUUAUCCGGAUUUACUGGGUGUAAAGGGGGCGCAGACGGCGAUGCAAGCCAGGAGUGAAAGCCCGGGGCCCAACCCCGGGACUGCUCUUGGAACUG